GCUAGGCACUGAUAAUAUGAUGACUUAAGGGCGGGAACUCUGA
rnacentral:misc_RNA from 1 species